rnacentral:rRNA from 1 species
UACGAAGGGGGCGAGCGUUGUUCGGAUUUACUGGGCGUAAAGGGCGCGCAGGCGGCUCAUUUUGUCAGGCGUGAAAGCCCCGGGCUUAACCUGGGAACUGCGUUUGAUACGGAUGGGCUAGAGUUCGGGAGAGGAGAGUGGAAUUCCCAGUGUAGAGGUGAAAUUCGUAGAUAUCGGGAGGAACACCGGUGGCGAAGGCGGCGAUCUGGGUCGAUACUGACGCUGAGGUGCGAAAGCGUGGGGAGCAAACAGG